UACGGAGGGGGCUAGCGUUGUUCGGAAUUACUGGGCGUAAAGCGUACGUGGGCGGUUUACCAAGUAGGGGGUGAAAUCCCAGGGCUUAACCCUGGAAUUGCCUUCUAAACUGGUAGACUUGAGACCGAGAGAGGUAAGGGGAAUUCCGAGUGUAGAGGUGAAAUUCGUAGAUAUUCGGAAGAACACCAGUGGCGAAGGCGCCUUACUGGCUCGGCACUGACGCUGAGGUACGAAAGCGUGGGGAGCAAAC
rnacentral:rRNA from 1 species